GAUGAACGCUAGCGACAGGCUUAACACAUGCAAGUCGAGGGGCAGCAUGAGGUAGCAAUACCUUGAUGGCGACCGGCGCACGGGUGAGUAACGCGUAUGCAACCUGCCCGAUACCGGGGUAUAGCCCAUGGAAACGUGGAUUAACACCCCAUAGUACUUUUAUCCUGCAUGGGAUGUGAGUUAAAUGUUCAAGGUAUCGGAUGGGCAUGCGUCCUAUUAGUUAGUUGGCGGGGUAACAGCCCACCAAGACGAUGAUAGGUAGGGGCUCUGAGAGGAAGGUCCCCCACAUUGGAACUGAGACACGGUCCAAACUCCUACGGGAGGCAGCAGUGAGGAAUAUUGGUCAAUGGACGUAAGUCUGAACCAGCCAAGUCGCGUGAGGGAAGGCUGCCCUAUGGUUUGUAAACCUCUUUUAUAAGGGAAGAAUAAGUUCUACGUGUAGAAUGAUGCCUGUACCUUAUGAAUAAGCAUCGGCUAACUCCGUGCCAGCAGCCGCCGUAA
rnacentral:rRNA from 1 species